CAUCCAGUUUAAACUUACCUGAUAUCCGUUCUUGUGACAAACUCAUUGUUGGCAGCAUGGGGUGGGGUUUGAAGGGACUACACUCUCUUAGGAGCUUCUACUAUAUCAGUGAUGAAUAGGAAACUUGGGAGGCCUUUCCAGAGAGAAGGUUCCUUCAGUCCUCUCUUACAUCCCUUGAAAUUUGGGGUCUGAAACAUUUGAAAUCUCUUGAUGGCAAUGAGCUUCAACAUCUUACUGCACAUAGAAAAUUGACUAUUAGCUACUGCCCAGCUCUCCAUCCCAUGCCAGAAGAGGGUCUGCCAACUUCUCUCUCUUCUCUAACAAUGAAGAACUGUCCCAUGUGGAAAGAGCGGUGUUUGAGGGAGAAAGGAGAAGAUUGGCCCAAGAUAGAGCAUAUACCCCUCAUAAAAAUUGACAAAGAAGUGAUCUCAUGAGGUUAUAGUCCACAGGAGCCUCAUCUCUUUAUCUAAUUGAAGUUCUGCUCAGAUACUCAUUUUACUCAUCAUAUCAUAUUUGCUGUCAGGUAGAUGGACUGGUGAAUUCUUCUUCUUGACCUUACUCAUCUAAUUAGUAAAAAGAAAUUUCUAAAUUAUCAACUUCAACUUUUGUCUUUUAGUGAUCAUUGCAUAACUGGUAGCAGCAAUGCUAGAGCUUUGUCUGUUCAUAGAGGCCAAUGAGUGAUCAUUGUAUACUGGAAAUACUUGAGCUUUGCCCUGUCUCAUUUUAUGCCUACAUUUCUUGUCAACCCUUCGCAGGAAAUUGACUCAUAUCUUCUGUACAAGUUUGAAGCCCCAAUGACUAUUCUUGUUGCAGUGAUAUUGAAAGCUCUGUAUACAAAAUGUCCUGGGUUAAUCUUUUGACUUAACAUCAGACAGGAUCUGGUUAUGUGAAGUGCAGUUGGAAUAUUGCGGAAAGCACUGUUCAAUGGAUGGUCCUCAGACUGCACAAAGGAUGUACUUGAGAAGCUUGUGCCUCAUACAAACUUGAAUAAGCUACAGAUCCAUAAUUAUGGUGGCACAAGAUUUCGGGGUUGGUUAGGAGAUGAUUCGUUCUGCAAUAUUGUAAUAAUUGUAUCUGUAAGCUUUCAAAAUUGUGAACAUUUCUGUAUCUUGCUACCCUUGGGAAAUUACCUUCCCUGAAACACCUUUCCAUUGAAGGUUUUGAUGAACUAGUGGCUGCUGGUCCUGAGUUUUAUGGGAACAAUUCUCUUGCGGCUCAGCGGUUUCUAUCUCUUGAAAUAUUAAAGUGUAGUUGGAUGUCUGCAUGGGAGGAAUGGUGCUCCAUCAGAGUUAAAGAUGAAUUCAUUGCUUUCCCUCGUCUGCAAGAGCUUCACUUAGAUGUUCUUUUGAAGUAACAAGAUCAGCACAGAGCUUUGUUAGGUCCGCUAAUGAUAUAAAAUUUCUUAAAGCAGAGUUUCAUGCAAUUCUGCAAGCUUCUAGUUCUUACAAAAUUCAGGCUUUUACAACAUUCCACUUGAUGAUUAUCCCAUAAUUACUUUUUUUUGGUGACUACUACGAGCAUUGUAAGCAUUGGAACAAUGGAGAAAAUCUCUAAUAUUAUUGGUGGAAUAGGACAUUUAAUCUUGCUUAGUUUAGUUUACUGGAUGUUUUGUUUUCUGUCCAAUGAAGUAGCAAAAUGAACAGUAUCUGUGGUAAAAUUUCAUCUUGCACUAUUGGAUUUUUAAAGUUGUAUGUUGUAGUUCACCAUCCAUUUUGUUUGAAUAACGCCAGAGGCUUGUGGUGCUAAUUUUAAUGGUAAUGGUUCCAUUU